GCCUGCCUGGCUCAGUUGGUAGAGCAUGGGACUUUGAAUCCUGAGGUUGUGAGUUUGGACCCCACAUUAGGCU
rnacentral:tRNA from 1 species